rnacentral:misc_RNA from 1 species
UCUGCGGCCCGGCGCUGGUCCU